ensembl:lncRNA
CGAGCAGCUCAUCAUGCUGUCAGCACAGAGCUCCCUGGAGACCACAGCAAGACUCCAAAGGGGAGCAUGGGGAGGAAAAAAGGCCCAUUUCCCCCAAGGAAGAUGGGUUCACAGGAGAAUCUUCUGAGCUUGGUCACUUCUGUUCUCUCACUGCGCCAUCUCCUGGAACCAAAUCUCCUGUGCCUUGAAUAUCCACAGACAGGAUGUCCAGGGCAGAGUCGGGCGGUGGACAAAGCACUGAUUAGGACAAGCUUCCAGCCCAGAAAACUGAGUCAUCUUGGCCACCUGCACUCGUGUGUCCACUUGGAGCCUCUUCUAUUCUGACAACUUUGCAUCUUUUUUUCUCUGGACCCAGAAACAAGUAUGUCCAAGAAUCCUCCAAGAAUUCACCAGACGCUCUCUCCUGGUCAGAGAGCCAAUGCUCACCCGACUGAGUUCAAAACAACCUUGACCUUGGGUUUUGUUUUUGCAGAUUAAAAAAAAAAAAAAA